GUGAAGAAUUCACCACAGGAAGUGACAGCUGCUGUCAUCUUAGUUAGGAACGACCCCCAGGGAGCUGCCCCAGCUCUCCUUUCAUUGCUAUGGCAGAUUGAACACCUAAGUGAAGAAUGUGAACACCCUGUGGUUAUUCCUGAUGAACCAGAACUCCAAAUAACAGCUUGUGUAUUUUCUCAGAUGACAAAACACAAGUUAGGAACAGAUGGAGUGCCUGGACUUCCUGCAAGAAGAUGUGCUGGAAGGCUGUGUCCAUGAGUCCCUACCCAUCAUGUGACAGGCACCAAAGCGUUGCUAAGCUCCCUUCAGAACACUUGUUCGAGAUACACUCCCUUGAGAAGAACUGGAAAGAGAGGGACUGAAAACUCAAGAUAGACAUCAGAAGAAAAGGUUGUCACCAACUGGAGGUCUAGGUCACCACUGAGUACACAGGCAACAGGAUGUUCAUACACUCAUCAAAACUGACUGUGUGUCUACUGUGUGCCACUGGACUUGCCAGACAAAACAGACUGGAAGGCCAACUGUAGCCAUGUGGAGAAAGACUUAGUCUGGUGCAAGGCUUCUUGGCUAAAACAGGCUCCAUGACUAAUGAGGACUGUGGCAGGGCAGCAACACCAAGCCUAAGGGGAAAGUACAAAGUCCUCCUCCCAUCCACUCAGUAACCAUUUACCAAGCAGCAGAAUCACAGGAAACAGUCACUGCGUGAAGGCCCAGAUCUAAAGCUGUGCCUCAAAGGAGAAUGGCUGAAGGUCCCUGGAACCCUGCAGGCCGCUGGAGGGUUGGAGAGUGGUUCCAAGAGUCAGACAGAUGAUCUGAGAUCAAGUAAUCAUCUUUUGGUUAUAAUCGACAGUGGAGUCAGAUCAAUGUGUUCAACAGAAUCAGCAGGAAAAUCCAGGAGGAGGGAAACCCUACACAGAGCACCCAAUGUUCCAGUUCCUAGCAUGGAGCUCUCUUCCUCAGGCAGGCUGUGUGUUCCUGGCACCCUCUCCACUCAUUUCUGACAUUCUGGAUGCCCAGCAGGAGUGGAGAUGGUGACACAGGACUCUCAACAGCAACAAGGCUGGGGCUACAGCUUGGCUCGGAUUCUCCCAGCGCUGCCUGUAAAGGCUCGGGCCCCAGCCCAGCACUACCGGGAGGUGUGGAGCCCUGGGAGGUGGACUCGUGAGAGGUCUUCCAGCUCCUGGGUGUGUGCCCUUGAGGGGACAGUGGGACCCCAGCUGUUUUCCCUUUGACUCUUUCCAUCUCUUUCGCAUCCUGGUCCUGCAGUGAACACACUCUCUGCCCAAAAGCAAUGGUGAACAAUCUGAAUAAGCUGAACAAUCAUGCACUAAAGCUGCAAACUGUGAGCCAAACAACCUUUUCUCUUUAUAAAUUGCUUAUCUCAGGUAUUUGUUAGAGUAACAGAAAGCUGACUGCCAGUCAGCACAGCCAGCCAGGACCUAGAGACUGUAACACAGAACCUGAUGGUCCUUGGUCACACAGCUGGGUCCCAACCUGCCCAGCCAGCCUCAGUCAGUAGGAUCUCCAGCCCCACUCCAGCACAGGUAAGCUGCCACUGCCCCUGCCCUUGACUGCCUAGAAGCUGCCCCUCCACUGGUAGAAGGAAAAGAAACACAACUCAGUGUUUUCCAAAGGAUAAGGAGCAAGAUUCUAAAUAGGGUUCUUCUGUGAGCUAUUUUCGGGUCUCAUUACAUGGAAGUCUGAAUAAUCUCUGGCUGCCUGCAGGCGUAGGGGCAAGGCCUGACAACCUGUGCCUGCCAGCCACCAGCUCACUUUCCAUGGGUGCUCUGCAGGAUCUCACUAGAAGUUACACUUGCUGGACAAAUCCUACUUGAGUCUACUGCUGCUGCUCUGAGCAGGCAUCCCUGAAGCUUAGGGGCACAGAGCACCUUAGGGGCAAACAAGUUUAAACCAGCAGAGAAGGCAAUGAACUGGCUGAGGGUGUGGCUCUUCCCUUAUCUGAAGUCACUCCACUCGGGCAGUGAACAACAGCCAGCUCCAACAAAAGGUGCGUGGGGCCAGCACUGGAACAAAAUAUGCUCAGGAAAUGUGUAAAACAAAAAAAGUUUUUAGAUGACUGCUCCAUACAGCUGCAGAACUCUGACUCAGUCAUGAAAUCCUUUCAAAA